rnacentral:rRNA from 1 species
GGCGAGUGAAGCAGCAAUAGCUCAAAUUUGAAAUCUGGCGUCUUCGGCGUCCGAGUUGUAAUUUGUAGAGGAUGCUUCUGGGCAGCCACCGACCUAAGUUCCUUGGAACAGGACGUCAUAGAGGGUGAGAAUCCCGUAUGCGGUCGGAAAGGCACCCUACACGUAGCUCCUUCGACGAGUCGAGUUGUUUGGGAAUGCAGCUCUAAAUGGGAGGUAAAUUUCUUCUAAAGCUAAAUAUUGGCCAGAGACCGAUAGCGCACAAGUAGAGUGAUCGAAAGAUGAAAAGCACUUUGGAAAGAGAGUUAAAAAGCACGUGAAAUUGUUGAAAGGGAAGGGAUUGCAACCAGACUUGCUCGCGGUGUUCCGCCGGUCUUCUGACCGGUCUACUCGCCGCGUUGCAGGCCAGCAUCGUCUGGUGCCGCUGGAUAAGACUUGAGGAAUGUAGCUCCCUCGGGAGUGUUAUAGCCUCUUGUGAUGCAGCGAGCGCCGGGCGAGGUCCGCGCUUCGGCUAGGAUGCUGGCGUAAUGGUUGUAAUCCGC